AUGAAACACUACUGUGUUUGUGGACUGAGUUCUAUUUGUAUGAAAAAUCUGAUGUUGCAUGCUCCUCCGCUCCCUAACAUGGAAUGGAUUAUUCUGGAGAAAAUGAAUGAAAAUGUUGGAUGGAGGGGAUUUGAAGCAGAUGCAUGCUUUUUCUUGCUCACAGAUCUAAAGGUCCUUCAAAACUAAAAUUGUUUUCAACCAAAAGAAUUCAUGGCAGAAUUGA
rnacentral:lncRNA from 1 species